rnacentral:rRNA from 1 species
CCGGACCUGACUGCUAUCGGAUUGGUACUAAGCCAUGCGAGUCAUUGUAGCAAUACAAGGCGGACGGCUCAGUAACACGUAGUCAACCUAACCUAUGGACGUGGAUAACCUCGGGAAACUGAGAAUAAACCGCGAUAAAUCAUUAUGCCUGGAAUGGCUUAUGGUUCAAACAAUUUAUUGCCGUAGGAUGGGACUGCGGCCUAUCAGCUUGUUGGUGAGGUAAUGGCCCACCAAGGCUAUAACAGGUACGGGCUCUGAGAGGAGAAGCCCGGAGAUGGGUACUGAGACACGGACCCAGGCCCUAUGGGGCGCAGCAGGCGAGAAACCUUAGCAAUGUGCGAAAGCACGACUAGGUUAAUCCGAGUGAUUCCUGUUGAAGGAAUCUUUUGUCAGUCGUAAAACCACAGACGAAUAAGGGGUGGGCAAGUCUGGUGUCAGCCGCCGCGGUAAUACCAGCACCUCGAGUGGUCAGGAGGUUUAUUGGGCCUAAAGCAUCCGUAGCCGGCUUUGCAAGUCUCCGGUUAAAUCCAGCUGCUCAACAGAUGGGCUGCCGGAGAUACUACACAGCUAGGGAGCGGGAGAGGCAGACGGUAUUCUGUGGGUAGGGGUAAAAUCCAUUGAUCCAUAGAGGACCACCAGUGGCGAAGGCGGUCUACCAGAACGCGUUCGACGGUGAGGGAUGAAAGCUGGGGGAGCAAACCGGAUUAGAUACCCGGGUAGUCCCAGCUGUAAACGAUGCAAACUCGGUGAUGCAUUGGCUUAUGGCCAAUGCAGUGCCGCAGGAAGCCGUUAAGUUUGCCGCCUGGGAAGUACGGACGCAAGUCUGAAACUUAAAGGAAUUGGCGGGG